UACGAAGGGGGCUAGCGUUGCUCGGAAUCACUGGGCGUAAAGCGCACGUAGGCGGAUUGUUAAGUCAGGGGUGAAAGCCUGGGGCUCAACUCCAGAACUGCCCUUGAUACUGGCAAUCUCGAGUCCGGAAGAGGUAAGUGGAACUCCGAGUGUAGAGGUGAAAUUCGUAGAUAUUCGGAAGAACACCAGUGGCGAAGGCGGCUUACUGGUCCGGUACUGACGCUGAGGUGCGAAAGCGUGGGGAGCAAACAGG
rnacentral:rRNA from 1 species